rnacentral:lncRNA from 1 species
UUGAUGAAAUAAAAGCAAAGCGCAUCUAGAUUUGGAUUGCAACAUUCCUGUGUGAAAAGAAUGUAUACAAAGGUUUUCAAGAUAAAAGAUAAUGCUUGCACAUUUUUGAGGAAACAAUGCCUUUGCAUUCAAGUAAGGUUUCGUCUAUCAUCAAUUGGUCAAGAAGGAUAAGACAUAGGUAUUUGAAAAGGUCACCUGAUGAUUGACGUAACUCCACCUUAUCAUGUCUUCCAUUACAUUAUAUUUGAAAAGGAUAUGACAUUGAAGGGC